CUGGAAGCAGGCUGCGCACGGUCCGCGGAGGCACGGGACGCGCCGGUGCCGCUGACUCCGGGCCGGCCCGGCCGCCGACGCCCACACGGGGAGCGCGCAGGGGGCGCGCGGGGAGGGCGCAGGAGGUUUUCGGUUUCCUGGGCUUUUCAGUCUCCCACAGCAAACUGCAGGCAGGAAGCAGGUGGCCCUCCCAAAGUGCAGUGAGAAGAGCAGCAGAAGCCUGACGCUGUCACAAGGCCUGUGUCCCUUGUCUCACUGGAUUGCAGCAUCAGGGCAUUUUCUCAUCUUGCAUCUUCACAACAAGAAGGCCCUGCCUAUCAACCUGGGCCCAAAUCCGGAGACCCAGGCCCCUCUCUCCACAGAUCUCUGGCUCAUCCUCCCUGGGCACAUGGUGAGAGACACAGCAAGGAGGACUCUACAUUGUCUUUAUGAUAUCUCAGGAAGUAUAAAAAAAAAUCCACCAAGCUAUGUUUGAGUACGGCAGUCUUCCCAUAUUAAUUUUAUU